rnacentral:rRNA from 1 species
AGUAGUUUGACUCUGGCUCAGGACGACGCUGGCGGCGUGCUUAACACAUGCAAGUCGAACGCGUGUGCCCCUUCGGGGGUAGUCACGAGUGGCGAACGGGUGAGUAACACGUGAGCAACCUGCCCUUGACACUGGAAUAACAGCUGGAAACAGCUGCUAAUACCGGAUACGACCUCAACAGACAUCUGUAGAGGUGGAAAGCUCCGGCGGUCAGGGAUGGGCUCGCGGCCUAUCAGCUUGUUGGUGAGGUAACGGCUCACCAAGGCUUCGACGGGUAGCCGGCCUGAGAGGGCGACCGGCCACACUGGGACUGAGAUACGGCCCAGACUCCUACGGGAGGCAGCAGUGGGGAAUAUUGCACAAUGGGCGCAAGCCUGAUGCAGCAACGCCGCGUGCGGGAUGACGGCCUUCGGGUUGUAAACCGCUUUCAGCUCCGACGAAGCGAAAGUGACGGUAGGAGCAGAAGAAGGACCGGCCAACUACGUG